rnacentral:rRNA from 1 species
UGGGGAAUUUUGGACAAUGGGGGCAACCCUGAUCCAGCCAUGCCGCGUGCGGGAAGAAGGCCUUCGGGUUGUAAACCGCUUUUGGUCGGGAAGAAAAGACUGAGGCUAAUAUCCUUGGUUCUUGACGGUACCGGCAGAAUAAGCACCGGCUAACUACGUGCCAGCAGCCGCGGUAAUACGUAGGGUGCGAGCGUUAAUCGGAAUUACUGGGCGUAAAGCGUGCGCAGGCGGUUAGUUAAGUCUGAUGUGAAAGCCCCGGGCUCAACCUGGGAAUGGCAUUGGAAACUGGCUGGCUAGAGUGUGGCAGAGGGGGGUGGAACUCCGCGUGUAGCAGUGAAAUGCGUAGAGAUGCGGAAGAACACCGAUGGCGAAGGCAGCCCCCUGGGCUAACACUGACGCUCAGGCACGAAAGCGUGGGGAGCAAACA